AGAAGUAUUCAUAAGAAUGCAAACUAAAGAAUCAAAACUAAAUUAUUUUCCAAGGUGAAAUACACAAGUUUUCUUAUGCAACCCAUGAGGGCGCAGCAAACAGUGUUAACAAAAAUAGUAUAAACAUUAGUCUCACAAUAAAAAUGAGCAAAGAAAUCAAAUUCUCGUAAGGGAAACAAUAUCAGUCAGACAGGAUAAUGAAUAAAACGAUGCAGGUUAAAAAAAAUUAAAAGAAAAAAGGAGAGAAAACAAACAAGCAACUUAACAGGCAACACUUAGUGUUUUCCCUAAAGGAAUUAGAUCAAACAUUACUCAAGACAUACCAUAUCAAGUCUACUUAAUACAAACUCAGAAAGGAGAAUAAGCCAAUGAUAAAA
rnacentral:misc_RNA from 1 species